CCCGUUCCGUGCCGAGCCAGGCCGGGAACAGCCUGUACCGCAGCAGGCUGUCCUCUCUGCUCAGCUGACAACACAUAUCAUCAACACUGCUGUGUAAUAGGCGAGCCCUGGUCACACAGACGGGAUGUGUAAGCACCGAAAUAAAAGCACACCCCACUGCCUGAUAAGACGCGCGGUGAGACGGAUUACUGUUUCUGUAGGAGACGGUAAAACCCCGCCUUUUUGUAUUUUUGUUCACCGGGGAUUUGAGCGUUUUAUGUACAAUUGCUGUAAGGUUUCUGUAACUUAUGUGAAGAGUGUAGUGGAUGGUUCUGGUGACGGUAACAGGAGAAAAUGUGCCUGCACAGUUAAAGUGGCUCACUGUGAGGAGGACAGAGACGAUGUUGGCUGAAGGAUUAUGAAAGCUUGUGCAGGAGCAGAGCAGACUAAAGGCCUACUCUUCAGCAUGUAAAUUAGCCUGGAUUCUCUUUAUUUGUGUUGUAACCUCAACAGUUAUGUAGUGGGUUGUUGAUUCACUAUUACUGCAGGAUGACUAAAUAGUUUGUCUUUAUAAUAAAUGCUGAGCACAGUUUAAAAGAGGUUGUUAGGGAUGUUGUUCUGAUGUUCAGAGGGUAAUGUUGUGCACCCGUUUGGAAGAAUUAGAAAACAUGUUUUUUUUUUGGAAAGAAUCGAUCUGUUUUCUCAAAGAAUGUCUGGUUAAAAUUGUAUGUUUUAGGGCUGACUUUAAGUCUUCACUUACCUCCUAACAUUUUCUUUAAUUGCUCUUGUAUAGUUUUACUUCUUCUACAAUUAAUAUAUACCUCUUUUUUUGUUUAUUCUUAUUCUUAUUUUUGUUUAUUCUGUUGUUGAAUUCUCAGUUAACCUGUCCUUAUUUCUGUCUUUGCACUGCUGCAACAUAUGAAUUUCCCCUCUAUGAAUCAAUAAAGCUUCUCUUCUCUUAAGA